rnacentral:rRNA from 1 species
CCUACGGGUGGCAGCAGUAGGGAAUAUUGCUCAAUGGGGGAAACCCUGAAGCAGCAACGCCGCGUGGAGGAUGAAGGUUUUCGGAUUGUAAACUCCUUUUGUUAGAGAAGAUAAUGACGGUAUCUAACGAAUAAGCACCGGCUAACUGCGUGCCCGAGGCCGCGGUAAUACGGAGGGUGCAAGCGUUACUCGGAAUCACUGGGCGUAAAGAGCGCGUAUGCGGGUUAGAAAGUCAGAUGUGAAAUCCUAUGGCUUAACCAUAGCACUGCAUUUGAAACUGUUAUUCUAGAGUAUGCGAGAGGUAGGUGGAAUUCUUGGUGUAGGGGUAAAAUCCGUAGAGAUCAAGAGGAAUACCCAUUGCGAAGGCGACCUACUAGAACAUAACUGACGCUGAUGCGCGAAAGCGUGGGGAGCAAACAGGAUUAGAUACCCGGGUAGUC